rnacentral:misc_RNA from 1 species
AAAGUCGUAACAAGGUUUCCGUAGGUGAACCUGCGGAAGGAUCAUUAUUGAGAGAGGGGCUUCGCGCUCCCCGGGGGGGCCCCGGCCCCCCCAAACUCUUCACCCACUGUUAAACCUACCCUUUUGUUUGCUUUUGGCGGGCCUUGAGUUUCAUGCUCAUGCCAGCCCCCGGGCCACCCGGGCCGGCGUGUGCCCGUCAGAGCCCUUUUAAAUUCUGUCUAUUGGUGUCGUCCGAGCUUAUAUUCAAUCAUCAAAAA